rnacentral:rRNA from 1 species
UACGGGGGGGGGCAAGCGUUGUUCGGAAUUACUGGGCGUAAAGGGCUCGUAGGCGGCCAACUAAGUCAGACGUGAAAUCCCCAGGCUCAACCUGGGAACUGCGUCCGAUACUGGCAGGCUUGAAUCCGGGAGAGGGAUGUGGAAUUCCAGGUGUAGCGGUGAAAUGCGUAGAUAUCUGGAGGAACACCGGUGGCGAAGGCGGCAUCCUGGACCGGUAUUGACGCUGAGGCGCGAAAGCUAGGGGAGCAAACGGG